rnacentral:rRNA from 1 species
AGCGAACGCUGGCGGCAGGCCUAACACAUGCAAGUCGAACGGACCCUUCGGGGUUAGUGGCGGACGGGUGAGUAACACGUGGGAACGUGCCUUUUGGUUCGGAAUAACUCAGGGAAACUUGAGCUAAUACCGAAUGUGCCCUUCGGGGGAAAGAUUUAUCGCCAUUAGAGCGGCCCGCGUCUGAUUAGCUUGUUGGUGAGGUAAUGGCUCACCAAGGCGACGAUCAGUAGCUGGUCUGAGAGGAUGAUCAGCCACAUUGGGACUGAGACACGGCCCAAACUCCUACGGGAGGCAGCAGUGGGGAAUCUUGCGCAAUGGGCGAAAGCCUGACGCAGCCAUGCCGCGUGAAUGAUGAAGGUCUUAGGAUUGUAAAAUUCUUUCACCGGGGACGAUAAUGACGGUACCCGGAGAAGGAGCCCCGGCUAACUUCGUGCCAGCCGCCGCGGUAAUAC